UUUGCAUCAAUCUUUGUGUGAAUGUUCAACUUUUGUUCUAUUGUAUUAUAGAUACAUUUAUAAAUAUUUCUCUUAUCCCAGGGAUUUUAUUUAUAAGAUCCUUUUUUUUCCUUUAUUUUCAUUGUGGCUCUUUAAAUAUUGGGGUUUUUCCUUAAAAAAAUUUCAGAUUUACAAAUACAUGUGAAACACAGGCUUGUCAAAUUUUUAACUUUAAAAAAAUUGUCUAGAUGCUCCAGAAUCCAUCUGAAUUUGCACAGUCAGUAAAAUCCUUGCUGGAAGCACAGAAGCAGUCCAUUGAGUCUGGCUCCAUAGCUGGUGGGGAGCACCUCUGUUUUAUGGGCAGUGGCAGGGAGGAAGAAGACAUGUAUAUGAACAUGGUCCUGGCACACUUUUUACAGAAAAACAAAGAAUAUGUGAGUAUUGCCAGUGGAGGAUUUAUGGCACUGCAGCAGCACCUGGCAGACAUUAAUGUGGAUGGACCAGAAAAUGGAUAUGGCCAUUGGAUUGCUAGUACCUCAGGCUCAAGGAGCAGUAUCAAUUCUGUUGAUGGUGAAUCUCCUAAUGGCU
rnacentral:sRNA from 1 species